rnacentral:lncRNA from 1 species
CCACACCUGUCCAGAAUCCAGCACAGUGAUAAUAUGAUGCAUGCAAAUAUAUAUGCAAAUAUAUACACAGUAUAAUAAUAAAUGCAAUAAAUAAGCAGUAAAAGCAACCAAAACUACCCUAAAGAGCGCUAGGAUUGACUCACUUAGGGAAGAUGGACCAGCCAGAGGUCAACUUAGUCCCCAGCAGAGUCGCCAGCUGUCGCAACG